rnacentral:tRNA from 1 species
AGGGCUAUAGCUCAGUUGGUAGAGCACCUCGUUUAGUUUUACCGAGAAUGUCUACGGUUCGAGUCCGUAUAGCCCUA